rnacentral:tRNA from 1 species
GUGGUUGUAGCUCAGCUGGUUAGAGCGUCGGAUUGUGGUUCCGAAGGUCGCGGGUUCGAACCCCGUUAAUCACCCA